rnacentral:rRNA from 1 species
AUGGGGGCAAGCCUGAUCCAGCAAUGCCGCGUGAGUGAAGAAGGCCUUCGGGUUGUAAAGCUCUUUCAUCUGGGACGAAACGGUACGCUCUAACAUAGCGUGCUAAUGACGGUACCGUCACAAAAAGCACCGGCUAACUACGUGCCAGCAGCCGCGGUAAUA